GAUGAAGAACGUAGCGAAAUGCGAUAAGUAAUGUGAAUUGCAGAAUUCAGUGAAUCAUCGAAUCUUUGAACGCACAUUGCGCCCGCCAGUAUUCUGGCGGGCAUGCCUGUCUGAGCGUCAUUUCAACCCUCAUGCCCCUAGGGCGUGGUGUUGGGGAUCGGCCAAAGCCCGCGAGGGACGGCCGGCCCCUAAAUCUAGUGGCGGACCCGUCGUGGCCUCCUCUGCGAAGUAGUGAUAUUCCGCAUCGGAGAGCGACGAGCCCCUGCCGUUAAACCCCCAACUUUCCAAGGUUGACCUCACAUCAGGUAGGAAUACCCGCUGAACUUAAGCAUAUCAAUAAGCGGAGGA
rnacentral:misc_RNA from 1 species